AUUUAGCUCAGUGGUAGGGCGCUUGCCUAGCAAGCGCAAGGCCCUGGGUUCGGUCCCCAGCUCCGGGGGAAAAAAAAAGAAAAAAGAAAAAAAAAAAAGAAAAAAGAAAUGGCCUGAGAAUCUUAAACCAAAUGUAACAUAUCCUACCUUCCUUUGUAGAACUGCACCUCUACUCUGUCAACCGUACCUGUCAGGUGCUCCUCUGCAAUCAUCUACUAGUGAAACAGUGACUUCAAACUCCGUGAACAUCUCAUAGAUAACUACUGUAAAAGCAAUGGACACAUACCCAUGCUCUCAACUGUCCCUUACUAUCCUUUGAGUGCCUUGUUUUCUAACCAUCAUCUGUGGUGACUUGGAUAAGCUCGGACUAGGGAGUGGCACUAUUAGGUGUGCCUUGUUGGAGAAAGUGUGUCACUGUAGGGGUAGACUUUGAGAGACUGGGAUGGCACUGAGCCUGUACAUGGCUUUUGGUAGAAUUGUCAUCUUCACAAUAGUCUACCCAUUCAUGAGCAUGGAUAGUUUUUCUAUUUUCUAGUAUCUUCUUGAAUCCCUUCCUUCAGAUUUAAAGUUUUCCUUUUAGGGGUCUUCUACCUCCUCGGUUAGAUUUAGUCGUAGAUUUCUUUUAACUUUUAUUUAUUCACUUUAUAUCACAAUUGCUGCCCCUACUCCUGGUCACCCCCUCCCAUAAUCCUUCCCCUAUGCCCCCUCCCCUUCUCCUCUGAGAGGGUGGAGGCCCCCUUGUUUAUCCCCCCACCUUGGGACAUUAAGUCUCUGAAGGGCUAGGUGCAUCCUCUCCCACUGAGGCCAGACAAGACAGCCCAACCAGAAGAACAUAUCCUGUAGACAAGCAACAGCUUUUGGGAUAGCCCCAACAGCAGUUGAAGACCAAGCUGCACAUCUGCUCCAUAUAUGUGAGGGGACCUAGGUACAACCCAUGUAUGCUCUUUGGUUGGUGGUUCAAUCUCUGAGAGCUUGGGUUAGUUGACUCUGUAGGUCUUCCUAAGGAGUUUCAUCCCCUUUGGAGCCCACAGUCCUUCCCUCGACUCUUCCACAAGAGUCCCCAAGCUCUAUCCACUGUUUCACUGUGGGUGUCUGCAUCCAUCUGAGUCAGCUACGGAGUGGAGCCUCUAGAGGACAACCAUGCUAGACUCCUGUUUGCAAGCUUGGCAGGGUAUCAUUAAUAGUGUCAGGGAUUGGUCCUCGCCUAUGGGAUAGGACUCUUCUUGGGCCAGUUAUUGCUUGGCCAUUCCCUCAGUCUCUGUUCCAUUCCCAAUCACUGCAUUUCUUGUAGGCAGAAUAAAUUUUUGGUCAAAGGUUUUGUGGCUGGGUUGGUAUCCCUAUUGCUCCACUGAGGUUCUUACCUGGCUACAGGAGGUAGCCUCUUCAGGUUCCAUAUAUCAAAUGCUAUGAGUCACAGCUAAGGUCUCCCCCAUUGAUUCUUGAACAUGUCGCUAUCCCAGGUCUCUAGCAUGUCUACAAGAUGCCCCCCACCUCCCUACCCCCAUCAGUUGCAGUUUCCAUUGAUUCUCAUGACCAUCUGAUCAUCCCUCCUGUCCCUCCCCACAAUCUUGACCAGAGGGGAAAUAGCCUAGUGCCAUCUGUGCCCCCUGGGCACAGGGACCUAGUAGUAGUCAGGGGCAAGACCUUUCAGGUUUCUGCCUGCACUGAGAGCUGAAAGCCAAUGGCCAGGAGCACUUACACACCUAAGAGCAGAGCUCUCUGUUCCCAAAUCCAAAUAGUUAUACAGGAGUGCUGACAAGCAGGCCUACAGUAGGGUCAAGCCACUGCCAGAGACAGCAAGACAAGCUAACACCAGAGACAACCUGAUGGCGAGAGGCAAGUGCAGGAAUCUAAGCAACAGAAACCAAGACUACUUAGCAUCAUCAGAGUCCACCUCUCCCAUCAAGCAAAUACUGAAUAUCCAAACACACCAGAAAAGCAAGAUUUAGAUAUAAAAUCAUAUUUUAUAAUGAUGAUGGAGGACUUUAAGGAGGACAUAAAUAACUCCCUUAAGAAAUAACAGGACAAGACAAGUAAACAAAUAGAAGCCCUUGAAGAGGAAUCACAAAAAUUGCUUAAAGAAUUACAGGAAAACACAACGGAACAUGUGAAGGAAUCGAACAAAACUGUCCAGGAUUUAAAAAUGGAAAUAGAAACAAUAAAGAAGCACAAAGGAGACAACCCUGGAGAUAGAAAAACCUAGGAAAGAGAUAGAUGCAAGCAUCAUCAACAGAAUACAAGAGAUAGAAGAGAGAAUCUCAGUUGCAGAAGAUACCAUAGAAAACAUCAACAACCGUCAAAGAUAAUGUAAAACGCAAAAAGCUCCUAGCCCAAGACAUCCAGGAAAUCCAGAAUAAUGAGAAGAUCAACCUAAGUAUAAUAGGUAUAGAAGAGACUGAAGACUCCCAAUUUAAAGGGCCAGUAAAUAGCUUCAACAAAAUUAUAGGAGAAAACUUCCCUGACCUAAAGAAAGAGAUGUCCAUAAACAUACAAGAACCCUACAGAACUCCAAAUAGAUUGGACCAGAAAAGAAAUUCCUCCAAUCACAUAAUAGACAAAAGACCAAAUGCACAGAACAAAAAAAGAAUAUUAAAAGCAGUAAGGGGGAAAGGUCAAGCAACAUAUAAAGGCAGGCCCAUAAGAAUUAUACCAGAUUUCUCACCAGAGAGUAUGAAAGCCAGAAGAUCCUGGGCAGAUGUCAUACAGAACCUAAGAGAACACAAAUGCCAGCUCAAGGUACUAUAUCCAGCAAAACUCUCGAUUAACAUAGAUGGAGAAACCAACAUAUGCCAUGAAAAAAACAAAUUUACACAAUAUCGUUCUACAAAUCCAGCCCUAUAAAGAAUAAUAGAUGGAAAACUCCAACACAAAGAGGAAAACUACACCCUACAGAAAGCAAGAAAGUGAUCUCCUAGCAACAAAAUCAAAAGAAGAGAGACACACAAAUAAAAUUCCACCUCUGACAAUGAAAAUAACAGGAAGAAAAAAAUCAUUAUUCCUUAAUAUCUCUUAACAUUAAUGGACUCAAUUCUCCAAUAAAAAGAAAUAGACUAACAGACUGGAUACAAAAAGAAGACGUAGCAUUUUGCUACAUACAGGAAACAUACCUCAGAGACAAAGACAGACACUACCUCAGAGUAAAAGGCUAGAAAAAACUUCCCAAGCAAAUGGUCCAAAGUAACAAGCUGGAGUAGCCAUUCUAAUAUCGACUAAAAUUGACUUUCAACCAAAAAUCAUCAAUAAAGAUAUGGAAGGACACUUCAUAUUCAUCAAAGGAAAAGAAUCCACCAAGAUGGACUCUCAAUCCUAAAUAUCUGUGCUCCAAAUGCAAGGGCACCUACAUUCAUAAAAGAACCCUUACUGAAGCUCAAAUCACACAUUGCACCUAACACAAUAAUAGUAGGAGAUUUCAACACCCCACUCUCAUCAAUGGACAGAUCAGAGAAAGAGAAAUUAAACAGAGACGUAGAGAAACUAACAGAAGUUAUGAACCAAAUGUACUUAACAGACCUUUAUAGAACAUUUCAUCCUAAAACAAAAAGAUACAACUACUUCUCAGGACCUCCUGGUACCUUGUCCAAAAUUGACCACAUAAUCAAUAGGCCUCAACAGAUACAGGAAGAUAGAAAUUAUCCCAUGUAUCCUAUCAGAUCACCACAAACUAAGGCUGGUCUUCAAUAACAACAAAAACAACAGAAAGCCCAAAUGCACAUGGAAGUUGAACUAUGCUGAACUCAAUGAUAAGUUGGUCAAGGAAGAAAUAAAGAAAAAAAUUAAAGACUUUUUAGCAUUUAAUGAAAAUGAAGGCACAACAAACCCAAACUUAUGGGACACAAUGAAAGCUGUGCUAAGAGGAAAACUCAUAGCUCUGUGUGCCUGCAAAAAGAAACAGGAGAGAGCAUACAUCAGCAGCUUGACAGCACACCUAAAAGUUCUAGACCAAAAGAAGCAAAUGUACCCAAGAGGAGUAGAAGGCAGGAAAUAAUCAGACUCAGAGCUGAAAUCAACCAAGUAGAAACAAAAAUGACUAUACAAAGAAUCAACAAAGCCAUGAACUGGUUCUUUGAGAAAAUCAACAAGGUAGAUAAACCCUUAGCCAGACUAACUGGCGGCACAAAGAGUGUAUCCAAAUUAACAAAAUCAGAAGUAAAAAGGGAGACAUAGCAACAGAAUCUGAGGAAAAUAAAAAAAUCGUCAGAUCCCAUGACAAAAGCCUAUAGUCAACAAACUUGAAAAAUCUGGAGGAAAUGGACUAUUUUAUAGAAAAAUACCAGGUACCAAAGUUAAAUCAGGAACAGAUAAACCAUAUAAACAACCCCAUAACUCCUGAUGUAAUAGAAGUAGUUAUUAAAAGUCUCCCAACCAAAAGAGCCCAGGACCAGAUGGGUUCAGUGCAGAAUUCUAUCAAACCUUCAUAGAAGACCUCAUACCAAUACUGUCCAAACUAUUCCACAAAAUAGAAACAGAUGGAGCACUACCGAAUUCCUUCUAUAAAGCCACAAUUACUCUUAUACCUAAACCACACAAAACCCAACAAAGAAAGAAAACUUCAGAGCGAUUUCCCUUAUGAAUAUUGAUGCAAAAAUAUGCAAUAAAAUUCUCACAAACUGAAUCCAGGAACACAACAAAAUGAUCAUCCAUCAUUAUCAAGUUGGCUUCAUCCCAGGUAUGCAGGGGAUGGUUCAGUAUACGGAAAUCCAUCAGUGUAAUCCACUACAUAGACAAACUCAAAGAUAAAAACCACAUGAUCAUUUCAUUAGAUGCUGAGAAAGCAUUUGACAAAAUUCAACACCCCUUCAUGUUAAAAGUCCUGGAAAGAUCAGGAGUUCAAGGCCCAAACCUAAACCUAGUAUAAGCAAUAUACAGCAAACCAGUAGCCAACAUCAACCUAAAUUGAAAGAAACUUGAAGCAAUCCCAGUAAAAUCAGGGACUAGACAAGGCUGCCCACUCUCUCCCUACUACUCAAAGUACUAGCCAGAGCAGUCAAUCAGACAACAAAAGGAGGUCAACAGUAUACAAAUUGGAAAGGAAGAAGUCAAAAUAUCACUAUUUGCAAAUGAUGUGAUAGUAUACUUCAGUGACCCCAAAUGUUCCACCAGAGAACUACUAAACCUGAUAAACAACUUCAGCAAAGUGGCUGGGUAUAAAAUUUACUCAAACAAAUCUGUAUCCUUCCUCUACUCAAAGGAUAAACAGGCUGAGAAAGAAAUUAGGGAAAUGACACCCUUCACAAUAGUCCCAAAUAAUAUAAAAUACCUCGGUGUGACUUUAACCAAGCAAGUGAAAGACCUGUAUGACAAGAACUUCAAGUCUCUGAAGAAAGAAAUUGAAGAAGAUCUCAGAAGAUGGAAAAACUACCCAUGCUCAUGGAUUGACAGGGUUAAUAUAGUAAAAAUGACCAUUUUGCCAAAAGCAAUCUAAAGAUUCAGUGCAAUCCCCAUCAAAAUUCUAACUCAAUUCUUCAGAAUUAGAAGGAGCAAUUUUCAAAUUCAUUUGGAAUAACAAAAACCCAGGAUAGUGAAAACUAUACUCAACAGUAAAAGAACUUCUGAGGUAAUCACCAUCCCUGACCUCAAGCAGUAUUAGUCAUAAAAAGCAAUAGUCAUAAAAACUGAAUGCUAUUGGAACAGAAACAGACAGGCAGAUCAGUGGAAUAAAAUUGAAGACCCAUAAAUGAACCCACACACCUAUAGUCACUUGAUCUUUGACAAAGGAGCUAAAACCAUCUAAUGGAAGAAAGAUAGCAUUUUCAGCAAAUGGUGCUGGUUCAACUGGAGGUCAGCAUGUAGAAGAAAGCAAAUCGGUCCAUUCUUAUCACCGUGUACAAAGCUUAAGUCCAAGUGGAUCAAGGACCUCUACAUCAAACCAGAUACACUCAAACUAAUAGAAAAAAAAGUUAGGAGUCUAGAACACAUGGGCACUGGGUAAACUUUCCUGAACAAAACACGAAUGGCUUAUGCUAUAAGAUCAAGAAUGGACAAGUGUGACCUCAUAAAACUGCAAAGCUUCUGUAAGGCAAACAACACUGUCAUUAGGACAAAACAGCAACCAACAGAUUGGGGAAAGAUCUUUACCAAUCCUACAUCUGAUAGAGGGCUAAUAUCCAAAAUAUACAAAGAACUCAAGAAGGUAGACUCCAGAGAGCCAAAUAACUGUAGUAAAAAAUGGGGUACAGAGGUAAACAAAAAAUUCUGAGGACUAAUGAAUGUCUGAGAAGCACCUAAAGAAAUGUUCAACAUCUGUUGUCAUCAGCGAAAUGCAAAUCAAAACAAUCCUGAGAUUCCACCUCACAUCAGUCAGAAUGGCUAAGAUAAAAAACUCAGGUGAUAGCAGAUGCUGACAAGGAUGUGGAGAAAGAGGAACACUCCUCCAUUGUUGGUGGGACUGCAAACUGGUACAACCACUCUGGAAAUCAGUCUGAAGGAUCCUCUGAAAAUUGGACAUUGCACUACCUGAGGACCCAGCUAUAUCUCUCCUGAUCAUAUACCCAAAAUAUGCUCCAACAUACAACAAAGACACAUGCUCCACUAUGUUCAUAGCAGCCUUUUUUUAUAAUAGCCAAAAGCUAGAAAGAAUCCAGAUGCCCUUCAACAGAGGAAUGAACAGAAAAUUUUGUAUGUCUAUACAGUGGAGUACUAUUCAGCUAUCAAAACAAUGACAUCACGAAAUUCAUAGGCAAAUGGAUUGAACUAGAAAAUAUCAUCCUGAGUGAGGUAACCCAAUCACAGAAAAAAAAGCAUGGUAUGCACUCAUUGAUAAGUGUUAUCAGCCCAAAAGCUUACAUCACCCAAGAUACAAUACACAGACCACAUGAAUAUCAAGAAGGAUGACCAAAGUGUGAAUGCUUCACUUCUUCUUAAAAGGGAGAACAAAAAUAUUCAUAGGAGGGGAUAUGGAGGCAGAGUUUGGAGCAGAGACUGAAGGAAAGGCCAUUCAGAGCCUGCCCCACAUAUGCCCCAUAUAUUGAUAGUCACCAAGACCAGAUAAGAUUGUUGAAGCUAAGAAGGGCAUGCUGACAGGAACUGGAUAUAGAUGUCUCCUGAGAGACUCAGCCAGAGCAUGUCAAAUACAGAUGUGAAUGAUAGCAGCAAACCGCUGAACUGAGAACAGGGUCCCCAUUAGAGGAAUUAGAGAAAGGAUCGAAAGAGCUGAAGGGGCUUGCAACCCCAUAAGAACAACAAUGCCAACCAACCAGAGCUUCUAGGGACUAACCCACUACCCAAAGACUAUAUACAUGGACUGACCCAUGGCUCCAACUUUAUAUGUAGCAGAGGAAGGCCUGUUGGGCACCAAUGGAAGGAGAAGCCCUUGUUCCUGCCAAGGCUGAACCCCCAGUGUAGGGGAAUGUCUAGGGGAGGGAAGGGGGUGGAUGGGGAGCGGAACAUCCUUAUAGAAGAAGGGGAAGAGGGAUGGGAUGGGGUCUUAUGUCCAGGAAAUCGGGAAAGGGAAUAACAUCUGAAAUGUAAAUAAAAAAAUAUCCAAAAAAAAAAUACAAAGUUUAGACUCAGUCCUUCUAUAACUGCUAUUAUAAACUAUUUUUACAUGAUUAAGCAAUAUUAAGGGCCAGAUAGCAAACUCGUGGUUCUGAGUUAAUUAUAAAAGGGCAUUUUCAAGAUAUUUCAUUUAGACAUGACUGAGAGUAGUCAAUGCUUACAGUUCAGAAAUGCUUUUAGUAGAUAGAUAGUCUUCAAAGGCUUCAGAAGUCCACAGAAUACAACACUUAUGGCCAUUUCUUUAUUAAAGAUCAUUUGACUAGAGACAUGUCUGCUCCUAACACCCCCUUCUUGGUUCAAAGAAGGAACUGAGCAUCAGUGUAGUUGCUCCAGUUUGGCGAGACAACCACUAGGCAAGAAUUCCUCAAUUCAUCUACAGACAAAAAUAAUGUCUCGGAAAAUGACACACUGUGCAGAAUAGUCAACUGAUAGCUUUGUCAGGACAGAGUAAGCAGUCCUUCAUAAUCCUGCUUUACAAAGAUCUGCCAGAUGAUCCUCACCAGGAGACUGAAGACUGAUGCUCCAACGUUUUGAAGAUCGAGCUGUUCAGACCUUGACAGAGCAGUUCUCAACUUCGGAUGGAAAAAUAAAAACCCAGGAUAGCAAAAACAAUCCUGAACAAUAAAAGAACUUCCGGAGUUAUCACCAGCCCUGACCUCAAGCUGGACUGCAGAGCAAUCGUCAUAAAAACUUCAUAGCAUUGGUGUAGGAAUAGACAGGUUGAUCAAUGGAACUGAAUCGAAGACGCUGACAUAAAUCCAUGCACCUAUGGACACUUGGUUUUUGACAAAGAUGGCAAAAUCAUAGAUGGAAAAAGAAAGCAUCCUCAACCAACUGUGCUGGUCUAAGUGGAUGUCUUCACAUAGAUUUUUUUUUCUGAAAGUGUUAUAAGUGGGAGUGAAGUGCACAAUCUCUUUCUCAGCAUGUUUGGUUUUGCUCUGUAGAAAAACUAGCUAUUUUUGUAAGUUGGCUUUGUAUUCAGCCACCUUGCAGAACUCAUUGAUAAGCUUUAGAAGUUUUCCAAUAGGAUCUCAUGUAUGGUAUACCAUGUGAAAACAGGAAUUUGUCUCCUUUUUCUAUUUGUACUCCUUUAAUUUUCUUUCUCUUGUCUUAUUGCAAUUGCUAGGGUGUUGGUCACCAUAUUGGAAAGAAGUAAUGGUGGGCAGCCCUGGCUCGUACCUGAAUUUAAUAGAGUUGUUUCAAGUUUUCCCCCAUUAAGGAUAUUAUUCACCGUGUUUGUUACAUGUAGUCUUUGCUAGGUUGAAAUAUAUUUCUUCCAGUCCUGCUUUCUGCCUUCUAUCAUGAAGAGGUGUUGGAUUUUGUCAAAGGCUUUUUCUUUUAUUUAGAUGAUUGUGUAGCUUUGACUUUAAGUCAGUUUAUACAAUGUAUUACAUUUAAUGACUUAUAUAUAUAUUAAACUAUCUGUAUUAUCAGAGAUAGUAAUUUUUGGUGUUUGUUCAUUUAUGUCGUUAAUGGGUUUGCCUUUGGUAUUAGAGUCAUGUUGACUUCAUAGAUGUAGUCUAGGAAUCCUGGAAUAAAUUAAGAAUUAUUAGUUGUAGAUAUUCUUUGAAAGCCUUUAUAGUCUUCUAUGAAUUCAACUGGGCCUGGACUUUCCUUAGUCAGAAGACCUUUUACUACUGUUUCAAUCUCGUCAUUUGUUACGAGUCUGAUUGGAUUGUAGACCUCUUCACAGUUUAGCAUUCAUGGUUUAGGUGAAUCUAGAAACCCAUCUAUUUCUUUUUGAUUCUCUAAGUUAGUUAAAUACAAGUUUUUAAAGUAUUCUAUUAUAAA